AGAAAUAUGACUCGAACUAAUUUCUCAAAGGAUAUCUGAGGAAAUUUUAUGAUGGCUAGUUGGCUAGCCACAAAGCCUGUGAAAAUGCAUGAGCAUAAAUGACUGCCAAUGUCCUCAAUCUUCUGAUUUGAAGCCCUUCAUAAAUGGACUCAAUGGCACACUUACAUUCUCAUUUAUGCCCUUCAGGACAAAUGCAGCAUUCGACUAGAGCUCAUAACUCAGAAUUUCCAAAUAAAAUGACCUAUCAAUAUGGCUCCACGCACUCUCAACAGUAAAUCAAGUACUGGUUCUUUCCUUUUAAAUGAGAUUACUGUAGUAUUUGCUUCAGAUCAAUCGACACACAGACAUAACAUGAACUAUAACACUGACCAUACAGCUUAUUAGCUGGCUUGCUGUUUUAGUUCAUAAGAUUUUGCUGCUUGGCAGAGCAAACAAAAUAUGGUAUUUACUCUACAUAAUAGAGGAAAUCAUUCCUACUUCACAGUUGAGUGGACUGCAGCAACACUCAGAGCCACUCCUAUUUCCAUAUAUGGUCUCAGUGCAGUGCUCACAUUUUCAUUUAUGGCUUUCAAACCACGUCCACCCAGUGUCACUCAUAUUUCCCCAAUAUGAACCCAUAUAUGGACUCAAGAUGCACCUUCCAUCGUGCAGCCAGUCCAUGUUGAAAUUGUAGUUGUGCUAUGCCACAGGAAAUGACUGCUUGCUUUGUCGCUUUGUCACUUCCUAGUGUGAAUGUAGGGUAAAAACAAGUAGAAAAGGGCAUAAAGGUGACCAGUUGAGAAAUCCCCAAGUCCUCUGUGAACAUUUGGGCCCGGAGGCCUCGCUGCACAGAUUUGAGAAGUAUUUGUUAAAUGCAAUAAUAAAAACUGCCUCAAUGUACAACAGCAUUGAAAGAAAGAAUAUUGUGAAUCCUACUCCCUUGUAAUCUAUGAACGCACUACAUUACAUAUCAGUUACUUUAUAAAAUAAUAUCAGCAUAUUGACACAGAUACGUAAUAAUCAAAUAUACAGUACACUAUUUAAUGAUCUACUAAAGGAAGACAAGUGUAUAUACUAUGGUACCCAUUUGGCUUGAUUAGGAAUGUGCCGAUAUUCAGUUUUUGAUUUUUUAGGGCAGUCUACAGAUAUUACCAUGAUAUUGUAUAUAAAAACUGUUUCCUGUAUCCUUCUCUUUGGCUGGCAUGUUUUGUUUUUGUUCUGUUUUGUUUUUUUGUCAUAGAACACAACAGGACAUUCUUGGGAGAAAACUGAUGGCUAAUAUGGAGAGCAGACAUACUCUUAAAUGGAAAGCAGGGUUACUGAUGCUAUCCUGGAAUAUGUUUAAACUUUUUUUGCUGUUUUCUGUUCUGAAGGUUUCUACCACAGUAGCCACACACACUGAAAUUAUUUGCCUUGUUUUGUAGCAUUUUAUGUAAACCUGAUGAACUAACAAGCAAUCUCCAACAAGCAGCAGCUGCUUUUCUGGUGAUGAGUGCAACUAGAAUAUUCCUAGCAGACUAACAUAGGUAGCUAACUAAGGAUAAAUUGCAAAUUAGCUAAAUAUGGUCACUAAAUAAGCUUUGAAAUUGCAGUAGAUUAGCUAAUUGAUUUUGACUACAAAAUGAUUUCUGACAAUCUAUGAACAGAAAUACAAGCACAGACAUGAAAAUUUGUAAACUUGCUCCACAGUCAGGGAGAGACAGCUUGUUGAAAAAUUCAAGGAAAUCUGGUCUGGUGAAGAGAAUAAUGGGAUUGACUACACCAUGAAAGGUAUUUGCAAAGCUGCCCUCACAUUAAAUCAAAGAAUGGGACAGGCUUUAUGUUGGGAGUACGCAAAUGCUGCCUACCUUGGUAGCCACCUUGCGAUAGAAAUGCAUUGAUUGCCUGUGUUUAAUGCUGGGGUUUAUCAUAUUAUUGAUUAUCGGCACAUCCCUAGUCACAGGAUUAAUAUUAUUCUUGGUCAACACAUUUAUCAUUUAGGCUACUCAAACACUACUUGAAAUAUAGUCAUCCGAAUGAGAAGACUCAGAAAUUUUAUGGGACAUUAUGACAUGCGGAUUUCAGCUCUUCAGGUCAGUAUUCAGUAGAGCCUUUGUGAAACAUUCCUUUAUUAUAAAGGAGGGAGUGAGAGGAAGAAAACUUGUACAAGACUAAAACUGGACUACUUAAUUGGAAAAAUUCCAAAUUCUUCCUCUUACCUGUGGCAGCAUAGGAAAACCCUUUAAUUCAUAAACUUCAGAAGAAUUCUCGAGAAUGCAGUUUUUUCUUUUCUUUUGUUUUGACAAUAUUCCAAUCAGAACCAAACAUCUGCCUUGUGAAGUCUUUUCACUAUCAAAAAUGUAAAAGUUUUUUUAUUAUUUGCGCAAGUUAACGGUUGUUAAUGCUAGGCUGAGGUUACUAGGAAGCAAAUACAGGAUAUAAAAAUAAAUGUUAUAUAUAGGGAUGUGGACGAUUAUUCAAAUGUCUGCAUGUAAAGCAUUUAUGUGUAUGUUUUCAUUCAUUGACAAACUAUAUAGUGCUUUGCAUAAGUAUUUACUGCAUUGAAUUUUAUAUUUUGUAGUGUUUCAACCUGGAAUUGAAAUAGACUUAAUUGGGAUUUUUACAAUUUGAUUUACUCAAUAUGUCUGACAUUUGAAGGUACAAAAUGCAGUUAUUUUUAAGUUGCAUAAGUAUUCACCCCUGGUUGAUAUACAUGCCCAUUCGUCUUGGUAAAAUUGCUUAUGUUCUGUUAGAUGAGAUGUUAGUGAACAGCAACAUUCAGGUCUCUCAAUCAGAUUGAGGUCUUUGACUUUGAGGGCUUUGACUGGGACAUUCUAAAACGUUCAGGUUUUUAGUUUUUUACUAUUCCACUAAAGUUAGAAUGGUAGUAAGCAUAAGUUCAUUAUCCUGUUUGGAGCUUACACCUCUGGCCCAGUCUCAAGUCUCUUACAAACAGAAACACAUUUCUUCUCAGAUUGCCCUGUAUUUGGCUCCAUCCAUAUUGCCCUUAAACCUGAGUAAUUUUCCCUGCUUCAGUAGCAUGGGCUGUUUUGUGUAGCUGGCAUAAUGUGAAUAAAUACUUAUGCAAGGCAGUUUAUUACAUUACAUGACAUGUCAAAGUGGUUGUAGCCUUUUAAAAUGAAAUGUUUUUGUUUUUCAUUUCUGUUCAUUAUUUCUCUGUAUUACAUCUGUCAAUCACACAAACCCAUAUGCCAUCACAGACAGGACAAAUUAUUAAUUGUAGUGAAAAAUGAUACUUGAUUACGUCAUAUUAAAUCCACUUUUCUCCAUGUCCUACCAGUUAAGUAAAUAAUAUUUUAUCUCACAAACAGUUGCUGAAUGAGCAUCACUAAGCUACAGGAUAGACUACAGGCAGAUGCUAAUGCUACUAACACUAACAGACAAGUUUAGAUGGAAAAUAAACAAAAGGCGUUUGGUGAGGAAUGUUUGAAUAUUAUUUAAGCAAAGUCUUAAAUAUAGAAAGAAAAACUUGAAUAGUUGAAUUGGGACAACUGAUGAUUAACAACAACUUACAAGUUUUCCGGUAUCACCACAGAUAUAUGAAAAUUUUAACUUUUAAGUAAACUGCAUUAGAACCAUCUAGAAUCCUCUAUAUUUAAUAGAUGGAUAAAAGCAUCUUCUUCUUUUUUUUUAUUCUAUUCUAAAAUAAAUUUGGCCUAAAGACUAGUGUUUCACAAUGUUGUCCUAGUAUUAAGUACUUAAGUGCCCUCCAGAAUUAUUGGCACCCCAGAGUGGUGCAACACAAAAGCAUCACCCUAUCAUCGAGAGCUCAUUAAUUUGAAUCCUUUAUUUAAACAUGUUUUGUUUUCAAACAGAACAUUUUAUUUAUUGGUGCAAUUUUUUUUCUGCAAAAUACUGGUUUCAAAAUUAUUGGCACAUUUACAAUUAAUAUUCUGUGACACCUUGUCUGGAGAGAAUAAUAACACUGAGUCUCUUGUAAUGUCUAACAAAGUUGGAGAAACUUAUAGAGGCAUUUAUUUAAAUUAUUCCUCAGGGUUGUCACUAAUUUUGGUACAUAAAUUCUUGAGGAAAAAAAAAAAUACUAUUAUUAAAAAAAUAGUUCUAAUGAGUGAUUUAUGUUAGAAAAAGGAUGCAUAGUUUCUCCUGUUGUUUGAGUAGGAAAUUUGAAAUAUUGUAAUAUUUAUACUCUAUGAUCUUUUCUUUGCUUAUUUUUUGAAGGCUAGUAUGUCUGGAGGGCACUGUAAAUAUUUCAAAUAUACCUUGGUCUUUCUUUCUGUCACUUUCUCCUUUGUAUUAAAUAUUAAGUCUGUUUAUCCAUCUAGUCUUAAUAACAGUAUUAUGGCAGGCAAUGAAAUAUUGAUAUAAUUAGAACAAAUCAGAUUUGUAAUGCAAGACUUAAUGCAAUCAAUGCAAUUUAAAGUUAUUAAUCAGUUCACUGGUCAAGGUUGUUUCUGAGAUGGAGGUCGAACCUCUCAAAUCGAAAAUGUAGGAUUUAGAAGUGUUUUUGUUGCUAUUUUUACACUAACGUAAGUUGGUUAGAUUUAAAAGUAAACGAUUCCACACUUACCUGUAAUUAUGCGCUUUCUACCAUAAGUGUUAUUUAAGUUUUUAUUAAUGAUUGAUGUUCCUUUUAUUCUUAAGUAAAUGAUCAGGAGUGUGGUGUGUAACUAUGUGAGGGACAUUUCAGAGCACAGGUCUGUAAACGGUCUCUUCCUCUUGCUUACUCUUGCUUUUCUGUCUUUAUAAUGGCCUGCUUCAAGUAAAUUGUGGUACUGUUAAAUUAUCAGACGGAAGAACAUGAAAGGGGAUUUUUCUAUUUAAACAAAAAAAAGUCUGUAAAUUUAAAAAAAAAAAAAAAAAAAAAUGGCCUUCAUACUGUACUGAAAACAUAAAAAUAAAAAUGUUAUGGAUUAGGAAUUGUUGCAUGUAGUGAAAUUAAAGGUUAUAGCAUCGUUUCAUGUUUACUCUUACUCAGAGAACCGAAACAUAUGAUUGCCUCCUUAACUGAAAAGGAUGCAUAUGAUGCACCUUCUUUCUUUCUUUCUUUCUUUCUUUUUCCAAAACAAGGAAACUUGCCUUUCAAAUAAGACUUUAUCUUAGGAGAGCAAACACUGCCCAAAAAUGCUACCUGCCUAGGCAGACUCCUGAAUAGUGACACAGUUUUACUCUGUCCAUGAUGUAUCACAAUCUUUACAUUUAUUGAUCCAUCAUCUAACUGAUUAUCAGCAUAUGCUUAGUCUGCUGUGUUUUCUUUUGCUAUUAAAACUGACCACUGAAGGGGAAUAUCACCGUCUUCCAAAAACACACUAAGGAUUACAACAUUUUGAUCAUUAUGUCAGUAAAACAUUAUAUACUCAUCUGUUUUGUAGCAGGUUUUACACACUUAUCAGUAAAACUGAACUGAAUGCUCUUAUGAGGCGACGAGACCCGUUUCAGGCCUGUGAUGUGAAGUGUAAAUCUGUUUUUAUUCUUUUCAUGGGUUUUUAUUUUUUGAAGAUCAAUUAGUGAUCUCAGUGACAGAAUUAAGCCAAGUUUGUAAUUGUAUAAUAUUUACUGUAAGAUGUAGAACGUUCAAUAACUAUUAAAAACUUUCCCAAAAAAAUGCUUGUUUUUGCUUUUUUUUCUGCACUUCUACAUCAAUGAUCAGGCUUGGUUGCAUGUGGAGCAAAAAGUUGAACGAAUUCAAAGUCAAAGUGAGGUUUACUGUCAUUCAGACCAUACAACAAGGAGUGCACAGCAAAAUUAAAUUGCGUUUGUCCAAGCUCAAAUGUGCAGAAACCCCCCAAAAUAAAUAAAAAAUCAACUAGUGACAUCAAUUCAGUGACAUAGCUCCAAGGUCCCUCUGAGGUUUGAGCCUCUCAUCUCCUAAAAACAUGCCAGGAGGUGGAUUGGUGACUAUAAUUUGCCUUUAGGUGUGAAUGUGUUUGGUGCGCUGUGAUCUACUGGAAUCCCAUUCUGCCUCAUACCCAGUGUUUCCAGGAUAGGCUCUGGAUUGAGCUCAGCCCUGAAGCAAAUAAAGCAAUUACUGAAGA
ensembl:lncRNA